CAGCGUGCUCCGGGGUCGGUGUAAUUCCGAACCGGCGGUGACACCCCUGUCCCCAGGGGUGAAGUCCGCGACCCGGCCGAAGCCAUCGGCCGGUGGACCUGGUGAGAUUCCAGGACCGACGGUGAAAGUCCGGAUGGGAGGAAGCGCGCGA
rnacentral:ncRNA from 1 species